CAUGUGCGUGAAUGUGAGUGUGCAUGUGUGAAUGUUCGUGUAACAUGGGUGUGUGUACGUGUGUACAUGUGUGUGUAUAUAUGUAUACAGGCGUGUGUGCGUGGGGUGAAACGGACAUCCUUCCUCCCGGCCUGGCCGCGGGCUGGUGGGGGUCUGCAAGGCCAGGCUGAGUGGCCCAUAGAGGGGCCAGAUGAGUUUCUCCUUGGCUGUUGUUGAAGAGACAGGCUGCUCUCCGGUUGUGUGUCCUUGGGAGGGUCAUGCAGCCAGAGCCUCCUUCCCUCGUCAGCCCGCGGGACGCUGGGGGCAGCGCUGUCCCUUCUGCUUUUCUGCUUCCUAGAAGGGCCCUGGUUUUGUUUGCGGUGGCGGGGUGCUUAACCGUCCUUGCAGCUAGGUGGCCACGUGAGUCAGUGCUGACCCGGAGGUGUAGACAGGGGCGUCCAGGGAGGGUCCUACCCAAACCAGCCCGGCCUGGCCCCCUGUUGGGAGGGGGAUGGCUCCAGGUCACAGGGGACAGGGCGGUGGUAGGAGAGCAAACACAGCCUGGGACUGCGGGCCCUGUGCCACCCACUGCCCUCCUCCUGCCUCCUGCCUUCCGCGAGGUGGGAACAGAAUAACCAUCCAGGGCUGUGGGUCCUGUGACAGGUGGAAGCCUCCGUCCCCGGCCCAAGAGACAGGACAGAGGAGGACGCCGACGGCAGGAGAACACAGCCACAGGGGGAGCUCGGGGAGGUGUGUGCGGGCGAAUGCAGCGGAGUUCCGAGCCAAUGCCCAGUGUCCCGGACGGGCGCCCGCUACCCUGCCUGCCUGCUGGCGUCCCCACUGGCCGACCAGCCUCUGAGCGAGGCCUGCCAGAGAGCAGGCUGGUGUGGACACGGGCUGAUCCGCGCAGGUGAAGUGACUUCCUUCCCCGUCUGGCGCCAGGAAGGGUCAGACCCAGGUCCCCCACCCCGGCCCAGACGCCCUGGGGUUCAGGCCCCCUCCCCUGCGGGGGCGCCACCCUGCGGGCCUCAGCCAGCGCCGUCUUCGGGGACCCAGCCGUCCAGUUGUGGCUGCUGAUCACACAACAGCUGCUCUUCUUGCUCGAGUGUGACGGUACAUUUUUUCGGGCGGCCGGACUCUCCCUGGCUUGCAGUGUAAGCGACUGGUCUGGCUGGGUCUGGCUGGGUCCCGGCCGCCCCCUGUGUCCCUCCAUUUAUCUUUGGCCCCCGGGCUGCUCCGUGGACUCCCUGCCAAAAGCAAGGAUUGAAUUUUGACUCUUGUUUUGCUGAUGGUCUAGAAUAUGUAAAAAAUGUUCCAUUGGGAGACCCGAGGGCACGGCGGGGGUGGGGAGCGGGGGCUUGGGAGCGUGCUGUGGCCAGCACAACCCCCCGCCCCGGGGUAGACCUUUGGGGUGCCUGGUGAGCUGGGGGAGGGCUGGGGCGAGCGAGGCUGUUUAUUUAGAGCAGUCGCUUGUUGGUGCUUCUGGAACACCAGGGUGUGUGAGCUUGUCAGGCAGUGGGGGCGUCUUUCCCUGCUUCGCAGGAGAGAAAACACUUGUGACCCCAUCGCUUGUUUGACAGGCUGGCUUGGUCCCCGUGGGCGUGUCCCUGCGCCCACUCACGCCGCAAAUGCUUCUCCGGUGCACACGGUAACUAGUUCCUGCCGGGCAGUGGGAUCCGGACCUGCCCCGCCGCCCCGAGGGAGCUCCUGGUCCAGUGGGAGCCCAAUGCAGCCAAAGGGCUCGGCAGGCGGGGGCAGGACAGGCAUGCGGCUGAGGGGAGGGCUGCGGUCCCAGCCUGCAGUGGGGACCGAGCAUGCCUCCCGGUCACGGAGUGAACCCAAGCUCAGUGCAUAGGAACCCAUGGGGCCAGCCAGGCGGUGCGGUUGUCCUUCCGAAGGCCCCAGGGCGGGAAGCGGCUUGGUGCUGGGUGUGGACGAGGCUGUCACCAGCGGGUGUGGCUGGAGCAUGAGGCUGAGUGGGGCAUCGAGGGAGAGAGGUCAGGCUUUGAGGGUGGGGGGUCCAGCCUUGGACGCUCAGGCCUGGCCUGCCUGUGGGCUGACACCCAUAGAUGCCGUGUGCCUGCCCGUGGUGUGUCUUUUGUCCUGGUGUCUACACAGCCUGGGGCUGGCUUCCAGCUGGUCCUGUCGCCCUGGACAGCCACAGGGGUUUGGAACUACGGCUGCAAUUGCAGGGGAAGAUGCAGAUGGGGUGCCUGCCCUCACCCGCCCCCGACCUUUGAGGCUUCAUCUUGGAGCUCACCAGGAUCCCGGCCACUGUCUCCUGGAGUCCUGAGUCCCGUGGGAGCGGUGACCCAUAGGAACAUGGAAUUAGGCAGAAGAAAUGUGCUUGCCACAUGAAUAUGGCAGCACGGUGCCUUCCGGCCCGAGUGUGCCCCUGCUGUUCCAGAUGGAGGUCUGGUGCCUGGCUUGGGAGGAGGAUGGCCCUUGUACAUUCGAUGGGCCAGGCCUGGAAGGCUCCAAUGAGCUGCAGUUAUGGGGCUGGUGUGGGGAAGUUUCUCCAAGAUCGCCCUGCAGCCCCCACCCUGCCUGUGGACAGGAUGCUCUUCGGGACCAAGAGCAAAUGCCUCUGUUUGCGGAAACUUCCUGGCUUUCCAGGUGCAGAGCACCCUGAGCUCACAAAUCUCCCUUUGCUGGGACUUCUGCUGGACAACAGAUUUUGUGUUGGAUGGCAUUUACAAGUGAGAAGCUCCAAAGUACGGGGGCUGGUGUGCAUGUGCGUGCAACCCCACAGCUGGGGACCCCAACGAGCCCCCUGCGGCUACCGGGCUCCACGCUGCGCCUGUGGGUCAGCUGCAAGCUCCUGGAGGCCCCUCCAGCUGCUGUCCAUGUCCAGGGAGUGUAGGGCUUUGUCCCCGGACAGGAAUGCCCUCUCCUGCCUGGCCGUCUUGACUCUCACCGACUCAUUACUAAGAAUAAAAGUCAAGUGCCCGUCAGGCCCCUCUGCUGUUUCUGAGAAACUGGCCCCUUCCCCAGACCGUCCACUGCAGCCUUGCUGUUUUCCCACCUUCAUUUCAAAGUUCAGACAUGAUGCAUCUGAGUCAAGAGCUCCAAUCAUGGGGUCUGGCCCUUGAAAGGCCAGGCAAGGGGUCUUCAGCUCAGAGGUGUUUUGGCUUUGAAAAUUCUCCCACUUGCACUUGAAA